AUUGAACGCUGGCGGCAGGCCUAACACAUGCAAGUCGAGCGAGCGGCGGAGGGGUGAGUAAUGUAUGGGGACUGCGCGAGAUAGGGGGAUAACUACAGGAAAAGGUAGCUAUAACCGCAUACUAUCGGAUAACCCAUAUGGGAUUAUCUAGUGGGUGGGGUAAUGGCUCACCUCGGCGACGAUCCCUAGCUGGUCUGAGAGGAUGAGCAGCCACACUGGGACUGAGACACGGCCCAGACUCCUACGGAGGCAGCAGUGGGGAAUAUUGCACAAUGGGCGCAAGCCUGAUGCAGCCAUGCCGCGUGUAUGAAGAAGGCCCUAGGGUUGUAAAGUACUUUCAGUCGGGAGGCGUUACCGACAGAAGAAGCACCGGCUAACUCCGUGCCAGCAGCCGCGGUAAUAC
rnacentral:rRNA from 1 species